rnacentral:rRNA from 1 species
GGACUACUGGGGUUUCUAAUCCCGUUUGCUCCCCUGGCUUUCGCGCCUCAGCGUCAGUAGAGGGCCAGCGGACCGCUUUCGCCACCGGCGUUCCUUCCGAUAUCAACGCAUUUCACCGCUCCACCGGAAGUUCCGUCCGCCCCUACCUCCCUCGAGCCCCGCAGUAUCAGAGGCACUUUUCCGGUUGAGCCGAAAGAUUUCACCCCUGACUUGCGGAGCCGCCUACGCGCCCUUUAAGCCCAGUGAUUCCGAACAACGUUCGCACGGUUCGUCUUACCGCGGCUGCUGGCAC